UGAUCAAAUCUUAAAGAGUAACGCAGAAAAAAUCAUGAAAUCAUGAAUUGUAGGCUUUUCCUCGUGUCAUAGCCUCUGCAACUGGCGUCACACAAAUUCUACCAUUUGUUCCUAACACACAAUAUGAACCUUACUCAUUAAACUUUUGAUAAUUUAAAUCAUGUUGGAGCAGCCAUGAGUGUAUCUGAACUGGAAUUGUCUUAUAAUGUUGUAAAAUAAUGCACCUUUCUUUUUCAUAGGUGCUAACUGAAUUACGUCAUUUUGUUGACCAACACCACGCCAUUUUGUGAGUCACAACUUGUGACUCAUUCCCUUGUAACCUUAGAGAGAGUUCUCAGUGGAGGCGGUUGGUACCCUUAUACAUUCCCUUGCUGGACACAGUGUGCUAAAGAGAGAUGAGGAACUGCUGGAAACAUAGCAGGUCUCAUUGAGAAAAUAUAUAAUUUCAGUUACAAUAGUACAAUGCAAAAUGUGUGGUGGAAAUAUUUAUCAGGCUUUAGAGCAACAUUAGCCUUUGCUAUAUCUCCACUUCAUGUAAAUGGAAAAUCUCUGGAACUUCUUGUUGAGAAAUGAAGCCCUUGUGCAUAUUGCAUCAACCAAGGGCAAAAUGUUAACAUAUAGGCUAAUGUUACAACUCACGUAUGGUGAUUGUCCAUUCACACGAAGUCUGUAUGUUGGUACAGUUUAUCAUCAACAGGCAUAAGAGCAUGUUCGGGCAAUAAUUGUGGGAAAGUUUAGGUAGAUUCUUUGCUGCGUGAUAGCUCGGGCACGGCCCGGGAGUCGGAACGGGCAAUAUCGUUGUGCAUUAAGUUGGUGAACUCUUAAAGUGUUCCGUUGGGUAAUACUAUCAAAUCUCAAUGUGCUAUUUGUGAAAGAUUUUAUUUUUCUGUAACAGCCCGACAUUUCCAUCUCCGAUUUUAUGACGAUCACGAAACCCCCAUUGGUUGUCUGUGUAGGAUUGGUAGCAGCUUCGGUAGCAGUAGGUUCCAACAUCAUAUAACGUCUGCUUUAGUAAUGGCAGGGAUGUGAAUGAUAAUUUGUGAAAUCAAACAAGUUAAGCAGGUGCCUAGCUCAACAACUCCUAUGAAAUCUAGAUUGUUGGUGAGCAUUAUUGGACAUCUGUUCAGGUAACAGUUUCGUUUUUUAAUCCGCCAAGGAUUUAUGCGUUAUUGGAUCUACUGUGGAGCCUGAGUAGCAUACGCAAGUGGGCGUUCAUCUGCAUUCUUUAUCACCAAGCAGUUACAAAUAUGUUCUACACUGAUAAGCAUCUGAGGCAAAGGGCGAGCUGAACUAUAUAGUGCUAAAGCUAUCUCUCCUGUAGAACUCCUAUUUUUAUACGGUCUGCUGCUAAGGAGUGAGAAAUCUUUAUGUGGCCAACUAUUAAGACAUUGCUACACGUUACAAAAUACAAAGAUAGCACAAAAACGAGGCGAAGGCUGGGCAACCAUUAAGCGACGAACGAGGCUUGGACGCAGCAGGGGGUGAAGUGAAGGCGGAGCGAAGUUCUGAUAUGCCAUUCGGCACCAGGAUACUUUGCUGAGGCUUCAUUUUACUAUACUACUACGUAUACCACGAGAUCUUAUUCUAAGGCACCAAAAUACUGCACCACGGAACGCUGCCUAGUACCACUCUACUGCCUUGUACUACACUCUAGUUCCGGAAUACUAUCUCUACACAAGGUGGAAUACCAUAAUGCAAUCCGAGGUACUACACAGAGAGCAUAAGUUUUUGUACACCGAAUUCCGAAUGGUUAAGGGUAUUGUUAUUUGCAUAACUUGCAUAUAACAACUCGCUACAUAAUCGUUUAUUCAAUAUCAUCAGUAUGUUUGAUUAUGUGUAUUUCAUCUUUAUAUUUUCCAUGUUUGAAUUCAUACCAUCAUACGGUAGAAUUUCAGCCAUAAAGUAUCCCAGGAGUUGUCACGGCUGCAAAACCAAUUAAACUACCGCGUUUUAAAAAAAUUUAAACAUUCUUAAUAUGCAGCUAGGUGGGUUGUUGCUCUCCGAAGGCUAUUCGAUGCGUUAUACCAUUUCCUGAAAUGGAACAUUCAGAAAAUAUGGUAUAUGUUCGCAAAUUGUUAAGAUCUAUUCAGGGUGGUACCAUAAAGUAUGACUGUAGGAAAGGGUACGUAGGCUUCUAAAAGUGAAGAACAGCUAUGACGUCCUUGGUAAGCGGAAAAGGUACUCCUUAUUGAAGCGUCAGAUGACGGUUUUAAGAAUGAACUCUUUCCUUUGCUUUGCCCAAUGAAUCUGUGCUUGGAACUGGCAGGUGGCGUUUAGCAGUGGCACCCAAUCUUCAUUCUUAAAAUCCAGAGGUGUUCUUCACUUUUCAGGGGGAUGGAUUGAUGAGACUUGUUGAUUAAUCCAUGAAGAAUACCAAUACCUGGAUAAGUGGAGGUUCGUGAGCAGACGAACCACUGUAAGGGCCUUGCGCAGUCUAGCUGCAUCCAACUAGAUACUAGUAGAACCCAAAACAUUGUUUUGACAAGUACUGUCAUAUUUCGGUUGCAGGUUUUCACUAAAUACCAAACAUCUAGGGGAGAAAUAACUAACUCCGUAGAAUUUUAUGGGUAUGUCAGCUGUCCCGUCAGCUGUUCCCUUUCGCGUGGCUUCGUACAGAGGAUGGCUGCUGAAACGAACGUCUCUCUUCUUGAAAUUUUACCACCGAUUCCGUGUAUUUUGAGUUGCAUCUUGUGAAUUCAAUCAAUGCAGAGUUGUUCAAGGAGGAACAUGGUUUGGCUUUGCUAGCACGUUUUUCAUCUCCGUUAGUCUGAUAUACCCAUUUUGUUUCAAAGGUCUUUGGGAUGUACCUGAUGUACUGUGGUGGCCCCAAAAUUAUUUGAUGACUUGGUUCAAUCCAGGACUUGGUUUUCUAUGUAGUGGUUUACAGUUUUAAUUUGAAGAGAUCCUGGAGGCACCUGAUGUGUUUCAUAGGCUUUGGAGUCACUCGGUGACAGAAGAAAAUGCCACUAAUGUUAUGUUGUCAGUGUAAAUAAAACAUAUCCAGUAUCA